rnacentral:lncRNA from 10 species
CGGGACGGGAGCUGUGGGCGUGCGCAGUAUCACGCGGUGGCGCCAUCUCGCCCUGCCGUGGAGGGCUGGGGGUUCUCUCCGGGAGGUGGCGCAGCCCCGUUGCUCUUUCAACGGAAGAAGGAGACAAGCUCAGAGCCACGAAGCCACCAGCCACAGUCAACAAUGUGCCGAAGGGACAAAGCAUAGAUUGGGACCCAGGUCUGUCUGUCCCCAAAGCCUGUACUCUUGGCCCCAGGGAAACACUGCUACCCUUCACACCAGCUACAAUUUUUGUUAAGUAAACCUUUUAUUGAAGUUAAAUAAAGAGAAGAGCACAAAUCAUUACAGCUCGACAAAAUUACACAAAGUGAACAUGCCCAUACAACCUGAAUCCAGAUCGCAAAACCAAACAGUAGAAGCCUCAUGUGCUCCCCUUUCCCCCAUCCCUUCUUCUCCCCCCUCCACUCCCCGCCCCGAGACGGAGUCUCACUCUGUUGCC